GAAGAUCCAAAAUGUAUUUCUAAUCAGUUUUAUUGCAAGCAGAAGAACAAUCUCCAGAAGUCCUCUCUUGUCCUGCUGAUGGAUAUCUCCUCCGGCAGCUGUCUACAGAAACUACAGAUUUUUCUGAAGAGGCUCAGAAAAGCGAACGCCCACUCCAAUCUGCAUCUGCGGGUAGCUGGUUCACAUCGAGGCAGCCGUCUAAUGAGAAGCAUUCCUGCGUGAGAGAGGAGAAGAUGGCCGAAUGCAUCUUGCCCCAGACUCCCUCUAUGCCGCAGUGAGCUACAGGUGGUUUGAGAGGUUUCCAAUCAAGUCAUGCCAGAAGAACUCCAAACACAGCAUGCCCUGUGGCUGCAUCGUAUUACGUUUGAACUGUGAGGCGAGUCCUCACCAAUCUCUUACUAUAAGAAACUCUUGGAACAUAAGGAUGACCUCAGGCUAUGUCGAGUUGGACGGAGUGUUGCAUGACCUAUACCUGUUUCUACUCAACCAAGGGAGACAUUGAUUUCUGCUGACAGCGAUAUCUCCAGCUGAACAGACACAAUUGCUAAGGUCUCCCCUGGAAAAGGGAUUAUUGACCUCAAUGGGACUCACCUGGUAAAAAAUGAGUUAAA